rnacentral:rRNA from 1 species
AUUGAACGCUAGCGGGAUGCUUUACACAUGCAAGUCGAACGGCAGCGCGGACUUCGGUCUGGCGGCGAGUGGCGAACGGGUGAGUAAUGUAUCGGAACGUGCCCAGUAUCGGGGGAUAACUACGCGAAAGCGUAGCUAAUACCGCAUACGCCCUACGGGGGAAAGCAGGGGAUCGUAAGACCUUGCACUAUUGGAGCGGCCGAUAUCGGAUUAGCUAGUUGGUGAGGUAACGGCUCACCAAGGCGACGAUCCGUAGCUGGUUUGAGAGGCCGACCAGCCACACUGGAACUGAGACACGGCCCAGACUCCUACGGGAGGCAGCAGUGGGGAAUUUUGGACAAUGGGGGCAACCCUGAUCCAGCCAUCCCGCGUGUGCGAUGAAGGCCUUCGGGUUGUAAAGCACUUUUGGCAGGAAAGAAACGUCGCGGGCUAAUACCCCGUGGAACUGACGGUACCUGCAGAAUAAGCACCGGCUAACUACGUG